AAAAUAGUUAUAAUGCUCAAGUUUGGAAAGCAGAUGGGAAGUAAGGAAGAAUGAGAGAGGAAGCCUUAGAAACUUCUUCUCAUGCUGCAUGUUGUUGGCUUACUCUCUCCAGAUUCCAGACCUUGGAAAAUGCUUUUUUCUUUUGGUACCCAGGAUUGAACUCGGGUCCUUGGUGCUUGCAGGGCAGGUGGCAGAACCACUGAGCUAAAUCCCUGGCUGGAAAAUGCUUUUGAUUGGCCAGAGUUCAGUUUGAAGAUUCAGUCCCUUUUAUCUCCCUAGUGGGAGGACCAGUCACACUCAAGUAUAAUGGGUAGUCUCCCCAAAUAAGACCAGUGAACUAAUAGAAAGUAUGGCCAGAUGCUGAGUAGCAACCCAAAUGGAUGCCUGGAAAUGCAGAGUGAAAUUGAUGUUCAAAAACAAAAGCAGCAUCAGUCUUUAUAAGGAGCUAAUUGGCUCUUUUCUGCCUUUUUUUGGUUUGAUUUUUUUUUCUUCCUUUCCUUUUCAUUACCCUUGUUGUACAACAUUCUUUGAAUGGCAAAUAAAGUAAGAUUUGAAAAGGAUCUUACUUUGAGCUAGUAAGUGGUACGGCCACAUCCUGAGUUAUAUCUUUUGAUUUCAGUCAUCUUAUCUUUCCCUAGAAGUUGAUGCAAUGUAAGGUGGAGAAUGAUAAUGUCAAGAAAUGUACAAAAAAAUUGCUAGGUUUGUUUUAAAGGAGGAUAUUUCUUCAGGUUUGAAUAUGUUUAGACUAUGUAAUUAGUAACAAAAGGUGUUUUCUUUCCUGAAGGAAGAGUACAUCUGUUCUCUCUUGUAAACCAUCUUACUCACCAGCACAGAAUGUUCUAAUGUUGCCAGGAAGACUGUCAUGGAGAAUAUGGGGAGUGCUUUCUUCAACAUUUUUCUUCCUGGUGUUCUGCUUCCAAAGAGUUCAAAAAUCUAUCUCCAGAGUACCGAGAGGUGAGGCCAUUCCCCAGGUAAUUUGGAUUCUGAUGGGAAAAAAUUAUGCAUAAAAUUUGGGCUCAAAGAAAAUCUUAGAGCUUAUUGGUUGUUUAUGUAUCCCACCUUUCCUAGAGGCCCUUUGCCUGGCCUCUGACUCAUGGAGUUGGGGCCCUUCAGAAAGGCUGGGGUGGGUGGAUGGAGAAUCCAGUCGAUUUGAAGUUGAUUGACCAUGGGCUGUGAGGCCAGAAUCAGCAGCCUUGCUCAAGUUUGCCACUUUCUCUAGAAUGCUGAGAUUCAAGGACUCUUUCCGCCAAGAGCUCAGGAGUUUUUGUUUAUGAAUGUUAUAUGAAAUUUUUUGGUACCCAGAAUGAUUUCUGUCUUGAGCUCAAUUAGAAUAAAUUUAUAAAUCCUGUGUUUUAUAUCAAUGGGAUCUGUGCUUUGAUUUUCUUUUUCUUAAAAACAAUAAGGCGAUAAUGCAGCCAGGCAUAGUGACGCAUGCCUGUAAUCCCAGCACUUGGAAGACUGAGAGGGGAACAAUUGAAGUUAGAGCUCAGUCGGCACUACACAACAAGAUCUUGUCUUUAAAAAAGGUUCAGCAAGGAACCACCAAGUCCACUAGUCUGUGGGAGACUGUUUGAAGAUGAGAUGAUUAAUGAAAGAAAAGUAAUACUAAAAAUGAAGACAAAAAAGCAAGUUCAUUUUAAACACAUUUUUCUUACCCUGGAGGUGCCUAUUUGUCUACCUGGCACUUAUAUUGGCAUCCUAUGCAUGUGGUAAUGGGUAAUUCAUCUCUGCCAAAGCCCUGGAGUUCUGGGAAGCAAGGAUAUUUUGAGAUGAGGCAUUCUUGGUUAUGCAUCUUUACAUGUCCAGAGUGCCCUCUCCCUUUUUCCUUUGAUGUUAAAAUACUCUUCUGUGCCUUUGCACCUUUAUACUUGUGUCACCUGCCUCGCGUGCGCACACCCACCAUCACCUUUCAGGUUUAGAUGAGAUGUCUGGUGUCAUUAAUGUCCGCCACUGUCUAGUUGAACUUCAGAUCCCCUCUCAGGAAAAUAGAGAUAAUGGCCUCUCCCUCCCAGGGCUGUUGUGAAGAUUAAACCUGUGUCAACAUGUGCAGAGCUCAGCAAAUCUGAGUCUUAGAUGGCACUGAGAAAAAGGAGUUUUGUUCUUUCC
ensembl:lncRNA